ACAAAGUAAUCCGACAAACAGAUCGGACCCGGUCAUGUUAGAUACCAGUGGAAGGAGAUGAACAUACAAUUGACUCCGCAUCGAUGCAUGACUUCGCCCGGAACGCGGCAAGAACCAACAAUGGAAGAAAAACUACAGACGUGUUUAUUAACAAUAAAGUUAUUUUUGUUUUUAUGAAAUAGCGAUUGAAUAAAAAUAUUAGGUAUAUGA